UAGGGAAUCUUCCGCAAUGGGCGAAAGCCUGACGGAGCAACGCCGCGUGAGUGAUGAAGGUCUUCGGAUCGUAAAACUCUGUUAUUAGGGAAGAACAAAUGUGUAAGUAACUAUGCACGUCUUGACGGUACCUAAUCAGAAAGCCACGGCUAACUACGUGCCAGCAGCCGCGGUAAUACGUAGGUGGCAAGCGUUAUCCGGAAUUAUUGGGCGUAAAGCGCGCGUAGGCGGUUUUUUAAGUCUGAUGUGAAAGCCCACGGCUCAACCGUGGAGGGUCAUUGGAAACUGGAAAACUUGGGUGCAGAAGAGGAGAGUGGAAUUCCAUGUGUAGCGGUGAAAUGCGCAGAGAUAUGGAGGAACACCAGUGGCGAAGGCGACUUUCUGGUCUGUAACUGACGCUGAUGUGCGAAAGCGUGGGGAUCAAACAGG
rnacentral:rRNA from 1 species